GACGAACGCUGGCGGCGUGCCUAAUACAUGCAAGUAGAACGCUGAAGGAGGAGCUUGCUUCUCUGGAUGAGUUGCGAACGGGUGAGUAACGCGUAGGUAACCUGCCUGGUAGCGGGGGAUAACUAUUGGAAACGAUAGCUAAUACCGCAUAAGAUUGACUAUUGCAUGAUAGUCAGUUAAAAGGUGCAAUUGCAUCACUACCAGAUGGACCUGCGUUGUAUUAGCUAGUUGGUGGGGUAACGGCUCACCAAGGCGACGAUACAUAGCCGACCUGAGAGGGUGAUCGGCCACACUGGGACUGGGACACGGCCCAGACUCCUACGGGAGGCAGCAGGAGGGAAUCUUCGGCAAUGGACGGAAGUCUGACCGAGCAACGCCGCGGGAGUGAAGAAGGUUUUCGGAUCGUAAAGCUCUGUUGUAAGAGAAGAACGAGUGUGAGAGUGGAAAGUUCACACUGUGACGGUAUCUUACCAGAAAGGGACGGCUAACUACGUG
rnacentral:rRNA from 1 species